rnacentral:rRNA from 1 species
ACGUAGGAGGCGAGCGUUAUCCGGAUUUACUGGGCGUAAAGCGUACGCAGGUGGCUUCGUUAGUCGGACAUGAAAGCUCCCGGCUUAACUGGGAGAGGUUGUUCGAUACUGCGGGGCUUGAGGUUGGGAGAGGGACGUGGAAUUCCCGGUGUAGUGGUGAAUGCGUAGAUAUCGGGAGGAACACCAGUGGCGCAAGCGGCGUCCUGGCCCACACCUGACGCUGAGGUACGAAAGCGUGGGUAGCAAACAGGAUUAGAUACCCUGGUAGUCCCUGAGCGGG